GAUAGGAUAUACAUUGAUUACAUUCACAAUGAAGUGCUUUUAAUAUCAUAAUACAUUGAUAGAAGGUUGCCUGUUGAUUGAUAAUACGUUUACUACUAUGUUUCAUACGGGCGAUUAUUUUAUAAGAAGAUACAUAAUAUAUUCUAUGAUUUAUUGAGGAAUUAAUUUUUUCAAAUAUGGAUCCCAUGCCAAUUUUUUAAUUUGCAAGCCGUGAUAAAUUUUAUUAAAAGAUUUUUGAAAUGCUUUUAAAUUGUUAAAACAAAAAUGAUUGCGUUAUGUUGGGACA
rnacentral:lncRNA from 1 species